rnacentral:rRNA from 1 species
GCAGGCCUAAUACAUGCAAGCUGAACGGUAAAUAUUAUAGCAAUAUAAUAUGAGAGUAGCGUAAGGGUGCGUAACACGUAUGCAAUCUGCCCUGUACAGGAGGAUAGCUCGCGGAAACCCGGAUUAAUACUCCGUAAUAUUGGUGAGUGGCAUCAGUUACUAAUUAAAGUCGCAAGAUGGUACAGGAUGAGCAUGCGUCUGAUUAGCUAGUUGGUAGUGUAACGGACUACCAAGGCGAUGAUCAGUAGGGGAACUGAGAGGUUGAUCCCCCACACUGGCACUGAGAUACGGGCCAGACUCCUACGGGAGGCAGCAGUAGGGAAUAUUGGUCAAUGGAUGCAAGUCUGAACCAGCCAUGCCGCGUGCAGGAAGAAGGCCUUCUGGGUUGUAAACUGCUUUUGCCGGGGGAUAAAAUUACCUUGCGAGGUAAAUUGAAGGUACCCGGUGAAUAAGCCACGGCUAACUACGUGCCAGCAGCCGCGGUAAUACGUAGGUGGCAAGCGUUGUCCGGAUUUAUUGGGUUUAAAGGGUGCGUAGGCGGCCUAUUAAGUCAGUUCUGAAAUAUCCCGGCUUAACCGGGAGGGUGGGAUUGAUACUGAUGGGCUUGAGUGGAGUCGAGGUAGGCGGAAUUGACGGUGUAGCGGUGAAAUGCUUAGAUAUCGUCAAGAACACCGAUAGUGUAGACAGCUUACUAGACUUA